rnacentral:rRNA from 1 species
UUAAGCGACUAAGCGUACACGGUGGAUGCCUAGGCAGUCAGAGGCGAUGAAGGGCGUGCUAAUCUGCGAAAAGCGUCGGUAAGCUGAUAUGAAGCGUUAUAACCGACGAUACCCGAAUGGGGAAACCCAGUGCAAUACGUUGCACUAUCGUUAGAUGAAUACAUAGUCUAACGAGGCGAACCGGGGGAACUGAAACAUCUAAGUACCCCGAGGAAAAGAAAUCAACCGAGAUUCCCCCAGUAGCGGCGAGCGAACGGGGAGGAGCCCAGAGUCUGAAUCAGUUUGUGUGUUAGUGGAAGCGUCUGGAAAGUCGCACGGUACAGGGUGAUAGUCCCGUACACCAAAAUGCACAGGCUGUGAACUCGAUGAGUAGGGCGGGACACGUGACAUCCUGUCUGAAUAUGGGGGGACCAUCCUCCAAGGCUAAAUACUCCUGACUGACCGAUAGUGAACCAGUACCGUGAGGGAAAGGCGAAAAGAACCCCGGCGAGGGGAGUGAAAUAGAACCUGAAACCGUGUACGUACAAGCAGUGGGAGCACCUUCGUGGUGUGACUGCGUACCUUUUGUAUAAUGGGUCAGCGACUUAUAUUUUGUAGCAAGGUUAACCGAAUAGGGGAGCCGUAGGGAAACCGAGUCUUAACUGGGCGUCUAGUUGCAAGGUAUAGACCCGAAACCCGGUGAUCUAGCCAUGGGCAGGUUGAAGGUUGGGUAACACUAACUGGAGGACCGAACCGACUAAUGUUGAAAAAUUAGCGGAUGACUUGUGGCUGGGGGUGAAAGGCCAAUCAAACCGGGAGAUAGCUGGUUCUCCCCGAAAGCUAUUUAGGUAGCGCCUCGUGAACUCAUCUUCGGGGGUAGAGCACUGUUUCGGCUAGGGGGCCAUCCCGGCUUACCAAACCGAUGCAAACUCCGAAUACCGAAGAAUGUUAUCACGGGAGACACACGGCGGGUGCUAACGUCCGUCGUGAAGAGGGAAACAACCCAGACCGCCAGCUAAGGUCCCAAAGUCAUGGUUAAGUGGGAAACGAUGUGGGAAGGCACAGACAGCCAGGAUGUUGGCUUAGAAGCAGCCAUCAUUUAAAGAAAGCGUAAUAGCUCACUGGUCGAGUCGGCCUGCGCGGAAGAUGUAACGGGGCUAAACCAUGCACCGAAGCUGCGGCAGCGACGUUUAGGCGUUGUUGGGUAGGGGAGCGUUCUGUAAGCCGUUGAAGGUGACCUGUGAGGGUUGCUGGAGGUAUCAGAAGUGCGAAUGCUGACAUAAGUAACGAUAAUGCGGGUGAAAAACCCGCACGCCGGAAGACCAAGGGUUCCUGUCCAACGUUAAUCGGGGCAGGGUGAGUCGACCCCUAAGGCGAGGCUGAAAAGCGUAGUCGAUGGGAAACAGGUUAAUAUUCCUGUACUUGGUGUUACUGCGAAGGGGGGACGGAGAAGGCUAGGCUGGCCGGGCGACGGUUGUCCCGGUUUAAGCGUGUAGGGGGAGUGACCAGGUAAAUCCGGUUGCUUAUCAACCCUGAGGCGUGAUGACGAUGCACCACGGUGCAGAAGCAGUUGAUGCCAUGCUUCCAGGAAAAGCCUCUAAGCAUCAGGUAACAUUAAAUCGUACCCCAAACCGACACAGGUGGUCAGGUAGAGAAUACUCAGGCGCUUGAGAGAACUCGGGUGAAGGAACUAGGCAAAAUGGUGCCGUAACUUCGGGAGAAGGCACGCUGGCGUUAGGUGAAAGGACUAGCUCCUGGAGCUGAAGCCAGUCGCAGAUACCAGCUGGCUGCAACUGUUUAAUAAAAACACAGCACUGUGCAAACACGAAAGUGGACGUAUACAGUGUGACGCCUGCCCGGUGCUGGAAGGUUAAUUGAUGGGGUCAGCCGCAAGGCGAAGCUCUUGAUCGAAGCCCCAGUAAACGGCGGCCGUAACUAUAACGGUCCUAAGGUAGCGAAAUUCCUUGUCGGGUAAGUUCCGACCUGCACGAAUGGCGUAAUGAUGGCCAGGCUGUCUCCACCCGAGACUCAGUGAAAUUGAACUCGCUGUGAAGAUGCAGUGUACCCGCGGCAAGACGGAAAGACCCCGUGAACCUUUACUAUAGCUUGACACUGAACAUUGAGCCUUGAUGUGUAGGAUAGGUGGGAGGCCUUGAAGUGUGGACGCCAGUCUGCAUGGAGCCAACCUUGAAAUACCACCCUUUAAUGUUUGAUGUUCUAACUCGGCCCCAUGAUCUGGGGUGAGGACAGUGUCUGGUGGGUAGUUUGACUGGGGCGGUCUCCUCCCAAAGAGUAACGGAGGAGCACGAAGGUUAGCUAAUCACGGUCGGACAUCGUGAGGUUAGUGCAAAGGCAUAAGCUAGCUUGACUGCGAGAGUGACGGCUCGAGCAGGUACGAAAGUAGGUCUUAGUGAUCCGGUGGUUCUGAAUGGAAGGGCCAUCGCUCAACGGAUAAAAGGUACUCCGGGGAUAACAGGCUGAUACCGCCCAAGAGUUCAUAUCGACGGCGGUGUUUGGCACCUCGAUGUCGGCUCAUCACAUCCUGGGGCUGAAGUAGGUCCCAAGGGUAUGGCUGUUCGCCAUUUAAAGUGGUACGCGAGCUGGGUUUAGAACGUCGUGAGACAGUUCGGUCCCUAUCUGCCGUGGGCGUUGGAAGAUUGAGAGGGGCUGCUCCUAGUACGAGAGGACCGGAGUGGACGAAUCACUGGUGUUCGGGUUGUCAUGCCAAUGGCAUUGCCCGGUAGCUAAAUUCGGAAGAGAUAACCGCUGAAAGCAUCUAAGCGGGAAACUUGCCUCGAGAUGAGUCUUCCCUGGGGCUUAAAGCCCCCUGAAGGAACGUUAAAGACUAUGACGUUGAUAGGCUGGGUGUGUAAGUGCAGCGAUGUAUUGAGCUAACCAGUACUAAUGAUCCGUGAGGCUUAACCUU